UUAAGGAGGCAUUGUGGGUUCUCUUACGAGUUGCUGUCUGAGCAGUUGGUUCUCCUGGAGAAGCUUUGGUCCUCAUUUCGAGCAUUGCUUCCUGGCUCCGGAGGGGAAGACAUGUGCUGCUUGGUCUCCAGGAUGAACUUGUCACACUGCUUCCUGCCAUGUACCCAACUGUGCUUGUCAUUGGAGGAGCUCGGGGCCUCCGUGUCACUGAGGACAGCUGUGGUGCCUUUCAGGCUAGCCCUGCUCUUUGUUGUGAGUGUGACUUCUCAGCUCCAGUGUAGAACCCUCAUCCCACUAGCACAGCUCCUUCAUCCUGCUGGCAUAGACUUUCUGGCUUCCACCGCUGACCCUUGGGUCUUCCUGGAAUAGAUCCAUAAAAAAGACUGGAGUGAGUCCUUCUUGUGGGCUCUGGACUUUCAGUUGGACUUGUGGAGGCAUUGUCCUGAGCUCUGGGUUUUUAUCUGGAUUCAUGUGGGACAUUGCAAUAGGGUUUAGGCUCUUGACUAAAUAAUCUAUGUCUUUGGUGUUGCGGAUAGAUUUCCUGCAUUUGUUGUGUUAACUUCCGGUGACCAUUAUAAAAAUAUUAUGAACUCCAUGUCCUAAUCUUAGUUGUUCUCUGUGUACAACCACUGACUACAACAGAAAUUGGUUCCAGAGGAGUGGGGUCAUUGCUGUUAUGUUGGCUGGCCAUGUGAUUUAAGAACUUUGGAAAUUAAUUUGGAAAAUAUUUGAGAGACUGGCCAAAUUUGAAACAGCCUUUGUGUGCUAUAUUAUUUUGGAGACUCUGAUCGGAACCUGGAAGAUUGGAGUACUGAUGGAGAUGCUGCCAAUUAAGAUGAAGCUUGGGAAGCUUCUGUUGGGAAAGACUGCAAUGUCUGCUGGAGUCCAGGAAGAAGGUGUGUCUUGCUCUUUGCUGGUUCCUGUUUUGCUGUUUGCAGCUGCCAUGAACUGUGGCCCAGCCAUGCCCACCUGCCUUGGAGCCAACUAAGUGUGCACUGAAACCUCCAAAAACUUGUUAUUUGAAAGCUUCCUCAGGAUCUGUUGAAAAUCCCCUUCUAUGUUUGGAGCUACUGAGACUCUGGCACCGCGCUACCCCAAGCCAUUGGGCCUACAGAACCAGUGGCCCUCCUCUGCCUGCUCAGAACUCCGCAGUUCCAGACGAGCUGGGCCUCAGGGACACUGUGCACCCACCUGCCCCUUGGAAGCUCCACAGUUCUUCAAUCGCAGCCGGGUUAGGGUACUCACCACAGGCCGCAGUGCUUCAGGAACCUGUGGACCCUCCCUGGUUGCAGAGAUAUCCACAGUCCUCCAGACACAUGGAGAGGCCGAUGCAGGCACCCCAAAUCUGCCCAUCUCCUCCUCUGCAGACCAAUGGCCAGGCGUGGCAGCUAAACAGGUUGGGCUAGGCUGAUAGUGUGGGCCCGCCCACCCGUCAGUAGCUCAGCAAUUCUCCAAGUGUAACCGGAAUGGGGAGGCUGAUGUGGAAGCCUCAAACCCACCUCUCCCCUUCACUGCACCUGGAAGCCUGGGGGAACUCCAGCAGUCUGGGCGCAGAUAUCCAGAGUCCUCCAGACAUGCAGAGAGGCCGGUGAGGGCACCCCAGAUCUGCCCAGCUCCUCCUCUGCAGACCUAUGGCCAGGCGCGGCAGCUAAACAGGCUGGGCUAGGCUGGUAGUGUGGGCCAGCUCACCUAUCGGGAGCUCAGCAGGUCUCCAAGUGAAGCCAGAAUGGGGAGGCUGAUGUGGAAGCCUCAAACCCACCUCUCUCCUUCACUGCACCUGGAAGCCUGAGGGAACUCCAGCAGUCUGGGCGCAGAUAUCCAGAGUCCUCCAGACACGCAGAGAGGCUGGUGAGGGCACCCCAGAUCUGCCCAGCUCCUCCUCUGCAGACCUAUGGCCAAGUGCGGCAGCUAAACAGGCUGGGCUAGGCUGGUAGUGUGGGCCAGCCCACCUAUCAGGAGCUCAGCAGGUCUCCAAGUGAAGCCGGAAUGGGGAGGCUGAUGUGGAAGCCUCAAACCCACCUCUCCCCUUCACUGCACCUGGAAGCCUGGGGGAACUCCAGCAGUCUGGGUGCAGAUAUCCAGAGUCCUCCAGACACGCAGAGAGGCCGAUGA